CCUACGGGUGGCUGCAGUAGGGAAUCUUGCACAAUGGACGAAAGCCUGACGCAGCAACGCCGCGUGAGGGAUGAAGGUCUUCGGAUCGUAAACCUCUGUCGGCAGUGAAGAACGAUCGCGGUACUAAUCAGCAGUUAAUUGACGGUACCUGCUCAGAAAGCACCGGCUAACUCCGUGCCAGCAGCCGCGGUAAUACGGAGGGUGCAAGCGUUGAUCGGAAGUACUGGGCGUAAAGCGCUCGCAGGCGGUAUGUCAAGUCAAGGGUGAAAUCCCCGCGCUCAACGGGGGAACUGCCUUAGAAACGGGCAAACUGGAGUGUGGGAGAGGAGAGUGGAACUCCAGGUGUAGGAGUGAAAUCCGUAGAUAUAUGGAGGAACAUCAGUGGCGAAGGCGACUAUCUGGUACAUAACUGACGCUGAGGAGCGAAAGCGUGGGUAGCAAACAGGAUUAGAGACCCGGGUAGUC
rnacentral:rRNA from 1 species